rnacentral:rRNA from 1 species
AUUGAACGCUGGCGGCAGGCCUAACACAUGCAAGUCGAGCGCGCGUCGGACGGGUGAGUAAUGUAUGGGGAUCUGCCCGAUAGAGGGGGAUAACUACUGGAAACGGUAGCUAAUACCGCAUACUAUCGGAUGAACCCAUAUGGGAUUAGCUAGUAGGUGGGGUAAAGGCUCACCAAGGCACCGAUACGUAGCUGGUUUGAGAGGACGACCAGCCACACUGGGACUGAGACACGGCCCAGACUCCUACGGGAGGCAGCAGUGGGGAAUUUUGGACAAUGGGGGAAACCCUGAUCCAGCCAUGCCGCGUGUAUGAUGAAGGCCUUCGGGUUGUAAAGUACUUUUGGCAGAGAAGCGGUAUCUGCAGAAGAAGCACCGGCUAACUACGUGCCAGCAGCCGCGGUAAUUC